rnacentral:rRNA from 1 species
UACGAAGGGAGCUAGCGUUGUUCGGAAUCACUGGGCGGAAAGCGCACGUAGGCGGAUGUGUCAGUCAGGGGUGAAAUCCCGGAGCUCAACUUCGGAACUGCCUUUGAUACAGCACGUCUUGAGUCCGAUAGAGGUGGGUGGAAUUCCUAGUGUAGAGGUGAAAUUCGUAGAUAUUAGGAAGAACACCGGUGGCGAAGGCGGUCUGCUGGGCAGUUGCUGACACUGAGGCGCGACAGCGUGGGGAGCAAACAGG